CCAAACACAAAAUUUAAAGGGGGGGCGGCGGGUGGGAAUUUUCCCAAAUGGGGGAAACCCUGAACCACGCCUGCCGGGUUAAGAAAGAAGCCCUUGGGGUUAAAAACCAUUUUCGGUGGGAGAGAAGGGGGUGUAGUUAAAUUCCGCUUCUUGUGACUUAAGAACAGAAGAAGCCCGGGUUAAUUCCGUCCCAGCAGCCGUGGUAAUACGGAGGGUGCGAGCUUUAAUCGGAAUUACUGGGCGUAAAGCGUGCGUAGGCGGUUUGAUAAGCCAGAUGUGAAAUCCCGGGGCUUAACCUCGGAACUGCAUUUGGAACUGUUUGACUAGAGUACUGUAGAGGGUGGUGGAAUUUCCAGUGUAGCGGUGAAAUGCGUAGAGAUUGGAAGGAACAUCAGUGGCGAAGGCGGCCACCUGGACAGAUACUGACGCUGAGGCACGAAAGCGUGGGGAGCGAACAGGAUUAGAUACCCUGGUAGUCCACGCCGUAAACGAUGUCAACUAGCUGUUUGUGUUCUUGAAACGUGAGUAGCGUAGCUAACGCGCUGAGUUGACCGCCUGGGGAGUACGGCCGCAAGGUUAAAACUCAAAUGAAUUGACGGGGGCCCGCACAAGCGGUGGAGCAUGUGGUUUAAUUCGAUGCAACGCGAAGAACCUUACCAUCCCUUGACAUCCAGAGAAUUUUCCAGAGAUGGAUUGGUGCCUUCGGGAACUCUGAGACAGGUGCUGCAUGGCUGUCGUCAGCUCGUGUUGUGAAAUGUUGGGUUAAGUCCCGCAACGAGCGCAACCCUUAUCCUUGUUUGCCAGCACUUCGGGUGGGAACUCCAGGGAGACUGCCGGUGAUAAACCGGAGGAAGGUGGGGACGACGUCAAGUCAUCAUGGCCCUUACGAGUAGGGCUACACACGUGCUACAAUGGCGCAUACAGAGGGCGGCCAACUUGCGAGAGUGAGCGAAUCCCAAAAAGUGCGUCGUAGUCCGGAUCGGAGUCUGCAACUCGACUCCGUGAAGUCGGAAUCGCUAGUAAUCGUGGAUCAGAAUGCCACGGUGAAUACGUUCCCGGGCCUUGUACACACCGCCCGUCACACCAUGGGAGUGGGCUGCAAAAGAAGUAGGUAGUUUAACCUUCGGGAGGACGCUUACCACUUUGUGGUUCAUGACUGGGGUGAAGUCGUAACAAGGUAACCGUA
rnacentral:rRNA from 1 species